UCAAUGCAGGAUCUGCAUCCGCAGCUCAAGGUUUGAAUCAAACAGGCGACGCUGGUUUAGCAUUCUUUUCCGGUUCAAACGCUUCGGCACCAGCUGCUGGGAAAGCCUCUCUUCAACCAAAGAGAACUCCUGUUUCCAAAGAAGAGAUUGAGGCCAUUUUGUUGGGCGGCUGCUUCUAAUCGAAUGAGUUCUGUAACCCUGAUUGAUGAUUAUUUUUAGCAUGCUGUGUUAUUUUGGAAUACAACAGUGUACUGAUUAUAAUACUUGUCAAUAAUGUAAGUGUUUGCCACCAUUAACUUUUUCCAUUGAUGAAAUUCACAUAUUGUUUCUGGAGAAAAGUUUUGUCUCUCUUGGUUUUGGUUUCA